UGGAAAUUUGAUAAACAGGAGAAGGAAUACUCUAAAUCCCACUAAAGGAAAACACUGAGGUCAGUCACUCCCAUUCACCUUGCAUUUCUGCUUUUGGCUAAAUUGCAGACUGGACACGGAACAACUUCAUCUUUUUUAUUGGAAAAGAAGCCUUACGUCACCAUUCUUCUUGUACUACCUUUUGCUGACAGCCUCCCUGGGCAAUUUCACCACCACUUGUCUGAUACAUGGAGUGCUGUGGCCUUCCUCUGUGUUCUCUUCUCCCUGUGCAUAGAUAUAUCAUACUUUGAAGAGACAUUCAGGAGUCAAAUGAAGACGGUUCAGUUGUUAACUCUUUCCUGAUUUGCUCUCAGGACACUUGACACAGACCAUACACAACCUUCCUGUAUCAGGGGGAAGAUUACUUUGAGUCAGAAGAGGUGGAACACGUGUUAAGCUCACACUGUGGCUGUACAGGAAAUUUGCUAUGCUUUUAUAAUUAGAAGGGUCCUAUAAUUUCCCUGCUUCAAGGUGAUUAUCGUAAAGUAAUGUAUGGUGAAUGAAAAGUGUUUGGUUGAUGAAUAAUUUGAGUAUUUUCCUUUGCAUGCUAAUCUGACCUUUAUAAUGAACACUGCUGUACUAAAAAGGUUCUGCAUAACCAAAACACUGUACAGCCAACAUCUGUUAUUCAAAAGACCUGAGGGGUAGAAAAAAAAAAAAUCUCAGUAAAUCAUUUGACCUAAAUAUGUUUUCCUCUGUGAUAUGAAAUAUACUUUUACCAUCUGACUUGCUGAAUUCUUCUUGCCUUAUUGUGACACUGUUUGUUAAUAGAAGGAUGCAAUUUAUGUAACCUUUAUGUUUUAUGUUGUAACUAAUUGUUAUUCUUUAAUAGUCUAUACGUCAUUUGUCACAUAGUGAACUGUAGAUGCUGAAGACAGAUGGGCCACCAGAUGGACCCUGGGAAGGAUUGGUUAAAAUGUUAGUGAUAAGCUAACAAAACGAAACACAGUAGACUGAACGAGACUAUUCAGCUGAAAAGGCUGUCUACUGAAAUGGGGGUUGUGUUAUUCACAUUCAUUAAAGCGCACUUCAGCCAUGCUGUUCUGACAUUAUUUGAGACUUUCAAAGCAGCCAUAGCUUUUUUGUUUUCUUCCUCAAACACUUGUUUGGUGAUAUAGAUUGGCAAAAGUGACCUUAACUUUUAGAGGUGAUCACUUUCGCCAUCGAGGAACUUAACCAGUUAUAUUCAGCCAUUGGACUCACCAAUUCAGAGCUUGAACAAAAAGUCAAUGCACGAUUGCUCGCAAAUGAUUGCUUGUUUCUGGUAAACGAGCAUGAUUUAGAUUCCCUGAUUCUGGCCGUGCAUGUACUGCGUAACACCAAUGACAAUAACUUCUUUGGGUCUACCCACAAAAAUUUCAUAAAAUAAAUGGAAAAAUCUUUAGUGGGAUCA
rnacentral:lncRNA from 1 species